UCCAUAACUCAAUCAAGGGGAUCUGGAAGAAACCACUUCCUGUCUUCCUGCCUUCCAUUUCAAGUUUCUGAAGCUUCUUCAAAUUUGUUCUCUCUCUCUCUCUCGCCUGCAGGUCAUAGCCGUGCCUGGGAGAACCUUCUCUUCAACUCUGCCGCACCACUGUCAAGCUCACCUUUCUUCUAAGGUUUUAUUUUAGAGUUAACAUCCUCCAAAAAGCCUUCCUCAGGAGUUGAAGGUGCCCCUAAUAUCACAGCCAUGGCAUCCUGUACACUGGACCUUAUUGUCUGUCUGCCUGUUGUACCUUGUAUGAGUCUAUAAGCAAAACCUAUAAGAAGCCACAUCUGGCUAUUCUAUGUACUCAAAAAAUAAUUGGCAAGUGAAAGAAUGAGGAAAAGGAGAAAAAAUUCAGAAGGCCCCUACCCCUUCCAAUGGGUCAAGUCAGGAAUUUCCUACCUGCAUGUGAUUCCCUGUGUCCUAGAGGGUUUUAUUUACUCCUCAGACCUUGGAAACUGUUAACCAGAGUCUCUGUUUGGAGAUCUUAUCUGUGUGCUUCUCCAUGGGUGUUGUUUCCCUGUCUCUGCAGCCAUGCAUUCCUCAGCUCUUUAAGUGGUGGAGCCUGUCUGCCUGGAUAGAGUGCAAAAGCUACAGUGUAAUCUUGCUUUCUUUCAGGGCCACUGACCAGAGGAAAUAAAAACUGGACUGAUUGGGCUCUCCUGAUGUAGACCAGCCAGUGGCCCUCUAAGUUUCCUUCUAUGUUUAAAAUUCCUUAUCUGACAUUGCUAGCUGAUCAGCAGGCCCACAGGUCAGCUGAGGGCUUAUCUCCAGGGCUGGAGCUUCAAAGAGAUACAUGCACACGACUCCCCUGGGUCAGAUGGGCUGUGUCACAGUGAGUUGGGGAUAAUUUGGGAUCAGUCAACAUAACACACAUAACACAACCCAUUAAUUUUUUUUUUCAAAAAGCGAAGUUUAUUUUACUUUUUCCCAUUAUGAAAGUCAUCAAUGCUCAUUAUAGAAAAUUUGGCAAAUAACAAAAAGUGGAAAGAAAAAAAUUCCUUAAUAAUUUAGUAUAUUUGAUAUAUUCAUCCUUAAUCCUUAAUCUUUUACUAUGUUAUAUCUUUAAUAGUUGUGAUGAUAUACUUUUUGUAAUAAAUAUAUAUUUGUGUUGUGGCUUUUUUAAAAUUUAAAAACAUAACAAAUAUUUCCCCAAAUUUCUAUAUUGUUUCUAAAAAAAAAAAAAAGGAAGUAUGAUAUAUACCACAAUAGAGAUAAACCUUGAAAACAUUAUGCUAAGUGAAAGAAGCCAGGCACCAAAGAUCAUAUAUUUUAUUCCAUUUAGAUGAAAUGUACAGAAUAGGCAAAUCUAUAGAGACAGAAAGGAGAUUAGUGGUUGCUUAGAGUUUGGGAAGAUGGGGAAAGUGAGGGAUGAUAACUAAAGAAUAUGAAGUUUCUAGUUAAGACUUGCAUGGUUUACACUGAUUGAUGGUGCUAAAGUUGUGUGCCUGCAUCUUUGUUGCAAGGGAGACUGGGAAUUUGAGUUCAAUUUUUCUAAAUUGAGAAAUUUGCCACUUAAAUAUGAAAAUUUUAGGCCAGGCACAGUGGCUCAUGC
rnacentral:lncRNA from 1 species